rnacentral:rRNA from 1 species
GAAAACCCGGAUCAACAAACUCUGGGUGAAAUUAGCGGUAGUGGUAGGGGAGCGUUGUGUUCAGCGUAGAAGCCGUACCGUAAGGAGCGGUGGAGCGGACACAAGUGAGAAUGCAGGAAUAAGUAGCGAAAAGACAGGUGAGAAUCCUGUCCGCCGCAAGCCUAAGGUUUCCUGAGGAAGGUUCGUCCACUCAGGGUAAGCCGGGACCUAAGCCGAGGCCGAAAGGCGUAGGCGAUGGAUAACGGGUUAAAAUUCCCGUGCCACCGACGUUCGUUUGAGCGAAGAGGGGACACAGGAGGGUAGGUUGAGCCGGUGAUUGGUAGAGCCGGUCUAAGCGAGCAGGGUGUCUGGCAGGCAAAUCCGCCAGGCAACAGCCCGAGACGCGAAUGGGAGCGACACUACGGUGAAGCGAAGCAACUGACCCCAAACUGUCGAGAAAAGCCUCUAGUGAGAGCGUUGGUGUCCGUACCGCAAACCGACACAGGUAGGCGAGGAGAGAAUCCUAAGGCGCGCGAGAGAACCCUUGUUAAGGAACUCGGCAAAAUGACCCCGUAACUUAGGGAUAAGGGGUGCCGCCGCGAGGCGGUUGCAGAGAAACGGCCCAAGCGACUGUUUACCAAAAACACAGGUCCCUGCUAAGUCGUAAGACGACGUAUAGGGGCUGACGCCUGCCCAGUGCCGGAAGGUUAAGGGGAGGAGUUAGGCGUAAGCCAAAGCUUCGAACUUAAGCCCCGGUAAACGGCGGCCGUAACUAUAACGGUCCUAAGGUAGCGAAAUUCCUUGUCGGGUAAGUUCCGACCUGCACGAAUGGCGUAACGACUUGGGCGCUGUCUCGACGAGGGGCUCGGCGAAAUUGUAAUACCUGUGAAGAUGCAGGUUACCCGCGGUUAGACGGAAAGACCCCGUGGAGCUUCACUGCAACUUGACAUUGAGUUUUGGUAUUCUUUGUACAGGAUAGGUGGGAGACUGUGAGUCAUGGGCGCUAGCCUGUGAGGAGUCAACCUUGGGAUACCACCCUGAGUGUACUGGAAUUCUAACCGCACACCGUGAUCCGGUGGCGGGACAUUGUCAGGUGGGCAGUUUGACUGGGGCGGUCGCCUCCCAAACAGUAACGGAGGCGCGCAAAGGUUCGCUCAGUGCGGUUGGAAAUCGCGCGUCGAGUGUAAAGGCAGAAGCGAGCUUAACUGCGAGACAAACAAGUCGAGCAGGGUCGAAAGACGGCCUUAGUGAUCCGGUGGUUCCGAGUGGAAGGGCCAUCGCUCAACGGAUAAAAGCU